UAGGGAAUCUUCCGCAAUGGACGCAAGUCUGACGGAGCAACGCCACGUGAGUGAAGAAGGAUUUCGGUUCGUAAAACUCUGUUGUUAGAGAAGAACAGCGCAUAGAGUAACUGUUAUGCGUGUGACGGUAUCUAACCAGAAAGCCACGGCUAACUACGUGCCAGCAGCCGCGGUAAUACGUAGGUGGCAAGCGUUGUCCGGAUUUAUUGGGCGUAAAGCGAGCGCAGGCGGUCAAUUAAGUCUGAUGUGAAAGCCCCCGGCUCAACCGGGGAGGGUCAUUGGAAACUGGUUGACUUGAGUGCAGAAGAGGAGAGUGGAAUUCCAUGUGUAGCGGUGAAAUGCGUAGAUAUAUGGAGGAACACCAGUGGCGAAGGCGACUCUCUGGUCUGUAACUGACGCGGAGGCUCGAAAGCGUGGGUAGCAAACAGG
rnacentral:rRNA from 1 species